rnacentral:misc_RNA from 1 species
CUGAGUUCAUGCCCUUACGGGUAGAUCUCCCACCUUGAAUAUCUAAACCUUUGUUGCUUUGGCGGGCCGCUUCGGCUACCGGCUCCGGCUGGUGAGUGCCCGCCAGAGAACCUUAAACUCUGAAUUACAGUGUCGUCUGAGUACUAUAAAAUAGUUA